GAGGAUGGAUGAUGGGGGAGAUGACCAAGCAGUGCUUAAUUCUGACUUCUCUAGCAUCACCUGGGCAGUUGCUGGGCUGCCCAUCUUCAGAGACUCUAAUAAAACUUGGAAGUGGAAAAGAAGAGGCUUCAUAGAUAUCUUUGAGAACAAGUGCGGGACACAGUGUGAGCGGAGGAGGCCAGUCAAAGACAGGCCACUGUGUGCCUCCGCCGGCCGGCAUCCUGCCGCUUCACCUCCACUGUGUGCACCCAGUUCAAGCCCAGCACAGGCAAACGCCCCUCCACGUGAAGACGCACACGGGCAGAGCUAGCAAACAGCCACGAGCUCUGGCGCCAGGGAGCGAGGACUUCUGAGCUGGUCGCCUUCCUUCUUGCAAUCUCAUGAGGGCCCCACAGCAAAUAACCGUGCUUCCUUGUGUUUACGGGCUUCCCUGGUGACUCAGUGAUGAAGAAACAGGCUCAGAAAUGCUUCAGAGUUUGCCCAUGAUCACAGAGUUGGCAUGCAGUGGUCAGAAAAUGAAACAGGCCUGCCUGACUCCAAAGCCAGGACUCUCAAACUCGAUCUGUCCACUUGGCCAAGUGUGCAUCCCCAAAUGCUGCAAACCCUUCUUUGCUUAUUUUUUGGUCAGACUGCACAUCAUGUCAGAUCUUAGCUCCCCAACAAGGUAUAGAACCUGAGUCCCCUGCAUUGGAAAUAGCAAGUCUUAACCACUGGACCACCAGGAAGUUCCCACAGAUGCUUCUUAAAAC
ensembl:lncRNA